rnacentral:tRNA from 2 species
AGAUGGUUAGUCUAAAAAAGACCGCUGAUUUCGGCUCAGCAAAUCGUGGUUCAAAUCCAUGAUCAUCUU